GUCUACGGCCAUUCCGCCCGGAACGCACUCGAUCUCGUCUGUUCUCGGAAGCUAAGCGGGGUCCGGCCUGGUUAGUACUUGGGUGGGAGAACAUCUACCGGGCAGGGUGCUGGGUGCUGUUGCCA
rnacentral:rRNA from 1 species